rnacentral:rRNA from 1 species
UACGAAGGGUGCAAGCGUUACUCGGAAUUACUGGGCGUAAAGGGCGCGUAGGUGGUUGUUUAAGUCUGUUGUGAAAGCCCCCGGCUCAACUGGGGAGGGUCACGCGAUACUGCUCGACUCGAAGGCAGGAGAGGGAAGUGGAAUUCCCGGUGUAGUGGUGAAAUGCGUAGAUAUCGGGAGGAACACCAGUGGCGAAGGCGACUUCCUGGCCUGUUCUUGACGCUGAGGCGCGAAAGCUAGGGUAGCAAACGGG